AAGACCUUGCGCUUUUGGAGCGGCCGAUGUCUGAUUAGCUAGUUGGUGGGGUAAUGGCCUACCAAAGCUUCGAUCAGUAGCUGGUCUGAGAGGACGACCAGCCACACUGGGACUGAGACACGGCCCAGACUCCUACGGGAGGCAGCAGUGGGGAAUUUUGGACAAUGGGCGCAAGCCUGAUCCAGCCAUGCCGCGUGAGUGAAGAAGGCCUUCGGGUUGUAAAGCUCUUUCAGCCGGGAAGAAAAGGCUACGACGAAUAAUCGUAGCUCAUGACGGUACCGGAAGAAGAAGCACCGGCUAACUACGUGCCAGCAGCCGCGGUAAUACGUAGGGUGCGAGCGUUAAUCGGAAUUACUGGGCGUAAAGGGUGCGCAGGCGGUUUUGUAAGUCAGGUGUGAAAUCCCCGGGCUUAACCUGGGAACU
rnacentral:rRNA from 1 species